rnacentral:rRNA from 1 species
CAGAUUGAACGCUGGCGGAAUGCUUUACACAUGCAAGUCGAACGGUAGAGGGGGCAACCCUUGAGAGUGGCGAACGGGUGAGUAAUAUAUCGGAACGUGCCCAGUCGUGGGGGAUAACGUAGCGAAAGUUACGCUAAUACCGCAUACGAUCUACGGAUGAAAGCGGGGGAUCGCAAGACCUCGCGCGAUUGGAGCGGCCGAUAUCAGAUUAGGUAGUUGGUGGGGUAAAGGCUCACCAAGCCAACGAUCUGUAGCUGGUCUGAGAGGACGACCAGCCACACUGGUACUGAGACACGGACCAGACUCCUACGGGAGGCAGCAGUGAGGAAUAUUGGACAAUGGGCGCAAGCCUGAUCCAGCCAUGCCGCGUGCAGGAUGACGGUCCUAUGGAUUGUAAACUGCUUUUAUCUGGGAAGAAAAAGUCCAUGCGUGGAAAAUUGCCGGUACCAGAUGAAUAAGCACCGGCUAACUCCGUG